AGAUUGAACGCUGGCGGCGUGCCUAACACAUGCAAGUCGAGCGGUAACAGGUGUAGCAAUACAUGCUGACGAGCGGCGAACGGGUGAGUAAUGCUUUGGAAUCUUCCCAGUAGUGGGGAAUAACCAGUCGAAAGAUUGGCUAAUACCGCAUACGUCUGUAAAGGGAAAGCGGGGGCUCGUAAGACCUCGCGCUAUUGGAUGAGCCAAAGUCGGAUUAGCUAGUUGGUGGGGUAAUGGCCUACCAAGGCGACAAUCCGUAGCUGGUCUGAGAGGACGACCAGCCACACUGGAACUGAGACACGGUCCAGACUCCUACGGGAGGCAGCAGUGGGGAAUCUUGGACAAUGGGCGCAAGCCUGAUCCAGCCAUGCCGCGUGAGUGAAGAAGGCCUUCGGGUUGUAAAGCUCUUUUGUCAGGGACGAUAAUGACGGUACCUGAAGAAUAAGCCCCGGACAACUUCGUGCCAGCAGCCGC
rnacentral:rRNA from 1 species